CCCACACUCGUCCCGUUCUGAAGAAACUUCUGAGAUUCUUCUGGGUCCAAACCAGUCCAAGAAACCAACUUUAUCCGACACCAUUGCCCGUCACGAAGCUCUUUUAUUUCUCAAAGAAGCCUCUCCUGACUCGUUCCCCUAUUUCCCCGUCUCUGCAGAAAGCAAUCACGACAAUAUGAUGCUCAAAGGAAGGAACCAAAGUGAGUACUUCUGAAACCCUGUUGUUCAUUGUUCAAGUUUCUGACUUUAGAUUUGCUUAUGGUCAGAAAACGUUGCAUUAUAUUAAUGAUGAUGAUGAUUGAUAAGAAAGACGGUGUUGGAUAAAAUGUCUGAUUAGUUUCUGCAGAAAAAAGAUAGAAAAAGAUACAAGCUUUCCUUGUGGGUAUCGAUCCAGCAAUUCAUAAGAAACAUGCCAAAGACCCUUUUUAUUAGGAAAACAAGGCGAUUUACAAUCUUCACUCACAUCCAACUAGGAGUGGGAGCUGAAGAAUCAGAACCCAUAUAUGCUCCUUUUUUCCAACACUCUGCAUUUAUCACUCAUAUUUUAAUCUUAUCGCAAAUUGUAGAUAUUAUAGCCUAAUCAAUCCAAAACGUGAAAAGUAAUUAAUUAAACCAGUUGACAGUUCUCCAUUGAUUGAUUCUCAGUUGUUGCGCUUUGUGUGUGCCUCACUUAACGGUGGUGGCCAUUGACAUGGCUCUUGACAUUGAGUCCAUCCCCAUUGGGCUUCCUAGUGAGAGCAAGGUGCACUCCCGGGUCGUGGUGAGUGCAGGAACUGUUGUAGAGAAUGGAGUUG
rnacentral:lncRNA from 1 species